UUUUAUUAUUAUUUUUUUUAAAAAUAUGGUCUUUAAUUUUAGUUUCAUUGCUGUAUCAUAUACGUAAUUAUGCUAAAUUGAGUCUAGUCUUCACGUUCAGUUGACAUUUGAAGAGUUCUAUAGGGAAAUGUAGGCAUUCCAGAAGUCUGGCUUCUUCGGUGCAUGCUAGUUUCUGUGUUUUCUUAUGCCUUGUAGUGAGAUUAUUCAGUUACAUUUAACGCUUAGUUGAUGUUUUAUGUGUUUUUGAGAAUAUUUUCUUUGUUGAAUAUCUUCUCAAGUAUUUAUUGGGGAUGCCCAUACUAGGCAGUGGUGCAAGCCCAAAAUGCACUCUAAUAAUUCUGGGGCGGACUUAAGUAUGAAAACCAUAGCCCAAUCUAUCUGGUGGAGCACCUCUUUUGAGGAGACCAUCAUCAAUCAAGUAACAUUUGGUUAUUUUGGCAACUAGUUUCUUGUGCCGUGACUUAGUUGCACGAGUAAUUUUGGAUUCCAAACAUAGGUUUCAAUCAAUAUUGACAAGAUUGGUUUAUGGUUGCUGUUUAACAUAGGAUUAACGGAAACGAUAACCGAGUGUGUUCUUGUUAUGAGAAAUGUACUUUGCAUUCAAGAUUGUUCCACUUCGGUGGGAAUUUCUGAUAUCUGAAUAUGUCAGUUUUUAGUAAUAAUUUUAAAUUCUCUUCCCUAUAGUUGUAUGUACUGUUUUCCUUCAUAUACAUGUAAUUAUAUGGUUAUUAAUUAUCAUUUUAAUCAUGAUAGGUAUUUAAAG
rnacentral:misc_RNA from 1 species